AGAGUUUGAUCAUGGCUCAGGACGAACGCUGGCGGCGCGCCUAACACAUGCAAGUCGAACGAGCGAGAGAGAGCUUGCUUUCUCGAGCGAGUGGCGAACGGGUGAGUAACGCGUGAGGAACCUGCCUCAAAGAGGGGGACAACAGUUGGAAACGACUGCUAAUACCGCAUAAGCCCACGGCUCGGCAUCGAGCAGAGGGAAAAGGAGCAAUCCGCUUUGAGAUGGCCUCGCGUCCGAUUAGCUAGUUGGUGAGGUAACGGCCCACCAAGGCGACGAUCGGUAGCCGGACUGAGAGGUUGAACGGCCACAUUGGGACUGAGACACGGCCCAGACUCCUACGGGAGGCAGCAGUGGGGAAUAUUGCACAAUGGGGGAAACCCUGAUGCAGCGACGCCGCGUGGAGGAAGAAGGUCUUCGGAUUGUAAACUCCUGUUGUUGGGGAAGAUAAUGACGGUACCCAACAAGGAAGUGACGGCUAACUACGUGCCAGCAGCCGCGGUAAAACGUAGGUCACAAGCGUUGUCCGGAAUUACUGGGUGUAAAGGGAGCGCAGGCGGGAAGACAAGUUGGAAGUGAAAUCUAUGGGCUCAACCCAUAAACUGCUUUCAAAACUGUUUUUCUUGAGUAGUGCAGAGGUAGGCGGAAUUCCCGGUGUAGCGGUGGAAUGCGUAGAUAUCGGGAGGAACACCAGUGGCGAAGGCGGCCUACUGGGCACCAACUGACGCUGAGGCUCGAAAGUGUGGGUAGCAAACAGGAUUAGAUACCCUGGUAGUCCACACCGUAAACGAUGAUUACUAGGUGUUGGAGGAUUGACCCCUUCAGUGCCGCAGUUAACACAAUAAGUAAUCCACCUGGGGAGUACGACCGCAAGGUUGAAACUCAAAGGAAUUGACGGGGGCCCGCACAAGCAGUGGAGUAUGUGGUUUAAUUCGACGCAACGCGAAGAACCUUACCAAGUCUUGACAUCCCUUGACAGACAUAGAAAUAUGUAUUCUCUUCGGAGCAAGGAGACAGGUGGUGCAUGGUUGUCGUCAGCUCGUGUCGUGAGAUGUUGGGUUAAGUCCCGCAACGAGCGCAACCCUUAUGGUCAGUUACUACGCAAGAGGACUCUGGCCAGACUGCCGUUGACAAAACGGAGGAAGGUGGGGAUGACGUCAAAUCAUCAUGCCCUUUAUGACUUGGGCUACACACGUACUACAAUGGCGUU
rnacentral:rRNA from 1 species